UGGGGAAUAUUGCACAAUGGGGGAAACCCUGAUGCAGCGACGCCGCGUGAGCGAAGAAGGUUUUCGAAUCGUAAAGCUCUGUCCUAUGGGAAGAUAAUGACGGUACCAUAGGAGGAAGCCCCGGCUAACUACGUGCCAGCAGCCGCGGUAAUACGUAGGGGGCAAGCGUUGUCCGGAAUCACUGGGCGUAAAGGGUUCGCAGGCGGAAAUGCAAGUCAGUUGUGAAAGGCAGAGGCUCAACCUCUGUAAGCAAUUGAAACUGUAUUUCUUGAGAUGUGGAGAGGCAAGUGGAAUUCCUAGGGUAGCGGUGAAAUGCGUAGAUAUUAGGAAGAAUACCGGUGGCGAAGGCGACUUGCUGGACACAAACUGACGCUGAGGAACGAAAGCGUGGGUAGCAAACAGG
rnacentral:rRNA from 2 species